CAGAGUAUAGCUGAGUAGAAAAGCAUCUCCCUUACACUGAGAAGACACUCGUGCAAACCGAGUUACCCUGA
rnacentral:tRNA from 1 species